GACGAACGCUGGCGGCGUGCUUAACACAUGCAAGUCGAACGGUGAUGCUCCAGCUUGCUGGAGUGGAUCAGUGGCGAACGGGUGAGUAACACGUGAGCAACCUGCCCCAGACUCUGGAAUAAGCGCUGGAAACGGCGUCUAAUACUGGAUACGAAACUGGCCCGCAUGGGCAUGGUUUGGAAAGUUUUUCGGUUUUGGAUGGGCUCGCGGCCUAUCAGCUUGUUGGUGAGGUAAUGGCUCACCAAGGCGACGACGGGUAGCCGGCCUGAGAGGGCGACCGGCCACACUGGGACUGAGACACGGCCCAGACUCCUACGGGAGGCAGCAGUGGGGAAUAUUGCACAAUGGGCGAAAGCCUGAUGCAGCGACGCCGCGUGAGGGAUGACGGCCUUCGGGUUGUAAACCUCUUUCAGCAGGGAAGAAGCGAAAGUGACGGUACCUGCAGAAGAAGCACCGGCUAACUACGUG
rnacentral:rRNA from 1 species